AACAAAGCUGGACGAAGCCAUACUAUCGCAGUGGAACGACCUGUUCUUUGUAGCGAUUAUUAAGUGUUUACACUGCUUAAAGUCUUUUAAAGGCAAUAUGCCAGGUCCCAUAGUUCAGUGCGGGACUGCCACAACGGUACCCGUGGGCUAAAGAAGUGGAUGGAAGAGUUUUGCCCUAUUCACGAGUGCAAUAAAGGAACCUCGCGCUGUCUUAGUGACCCGCCUUAUGUACUCGUCACAUUUCCUACUGAAAGAAAAGAUCCAGAACGUCGUGCCGAAUGGAUUAAAUUAACCAAAGAACAACAGACUCUUCACAACCUGCUCAAACUCUUGGUACAGGACCUCACCACACGGAUCAAGAAGGUUUCCGUCUCAUUUCUACUCUGAAGCUCACCUUCUCCUGC
ensembl:lncRNA